rnacentral:lncRNA from 1 species
AGAGCACAGCCACUAUAACUUAUCAUAAUGUAACCUACUACCAAAAUUACUCUCUCCGGCCGCAAGCUAAUGUGCUGUUCGAGAAGAAGAAAUCUCUUGGGCACGAGCAGAUUGAAUUGCCCGGGGAAAAAACCCAAGAUCAUCCCCCUUCCAAGCACACUCCCGAGGCCCCGAUUUAUCAAACCAACAACCCUAACAUAUUAAGGCACACUCCUUAAUUCACACGCAGAAAUCGACGGUUUGCAGGAAGUCGUCCAUGCCGCGGCCCAGGUCGCAGCCAGGCAUCUCCGGGAAGACGUCGUUGAUGUCGUCGAGGUCGAGGUCAAUCUCCAGCUCCUCAUCCCCGAAGUCCCCAAGCAGGAGGUCCUGUUCGUCGUCCAGGCAGAAGGCCGCGUCCGAGACGUCCAGCGCGUCCAGCCCGGCGCGGAAGUCCAUCGGGUCGAUGUCGGGCAGCUGCAGGCCGCGCAGAAGGUCCUGGUAGAACUCUGGGUCGUCCGGCAGCUGCGCAGCAGAUUCAG